GUCAGGAUGAACGCUAGCUACAGGCUUACACAUGCAAGUCGAGGGGCAGCAUGGUCUUAGCUUGCUAAGGCCGAUGGCGACCGGCGCACGGGUGAGUAACACGUAUCCAACCUGCCGUCUACUCUUGGACAGCCUUCUGAAAGGAAGAUUAAUACAAGAUGGCAUCAUGAGUCCGCAUGUUCACAUGAUUAAAGGUAUUCCGGUAGACGAUGGGGAUGCGUUCCAUUAGAUAGUAGGCGGGGUAACGGCCCACCUAGUCUUCGAUGGAUAGGGGUUCUGAGAGGAAGGUCCCCCACAUUGGAACUGAGACACGGUCCAAACUCCUACGGGAGGCAGCAGUGAGGAAUAUUGGUCAAUGGGCGAGAGCCUGAACCAGCCAAGUAGCGUGAAGGAUGACUGCCCUAUGGGUUGUAAACUUCUUUUAUAAAGGAAUAAAGUCGGGUAUGGAUACCCGUUUGCAUGUACUUUAUGAAUAAGGAUCGGCUAACUCCGUGCCAGCAGCCGCGGUAAUACGGAGGAUCCGAGCGUUAUCCGGAUUUAUUGGGUUUAAAGGGAGCGUAGAUGGAUGUUUAAGUCAGUUGUGAAAGUUUGCGGCUCAACCGUAAAAUUGCAGUUGAUACUGGAUAUCUUGAGUGCAGUUGAGGCAGGCGGAAUUCGUGGUGUAGCGGUGAAAUGCUUAGAUAUCACGAAGAACUCCGAUUGCGAAGGCAGCCUGCUAAGCUGCAACUGACAUUGAGGCUCGAAAGUGUGGGUAUCAAACAGGAUAGAU
rnacentral:rRNA from 1 species